UACAGAGGGGGCAAGCGUUGUUCGGAAUUACUGGGCGUAAAGGGCGCGUAGGCGGCCUUCUAAGUCGAACGUGAAAUCCCCGGGCUCAACCCGGGAACUGCGUCCGAUACUGGAAGGCUUGAAUCCGGGAGAGGGAUGCGGAAUUCCAGGUGUAGCGGUGAAAUGCGUAGAUAUCGGGAGGAACACCGGUGGCGAAGGCGGUUCUCUGGGCCUGUACUGACGCUGAGGAGUGAAAGCGUGGGGAGCGAACAGG
rnacentral:rRNA from 1 species